GCCCAAAACGUCGGACCGACAAGGGGGAGACGGAGGGAGGACUUGGAACCGAUGUCUCAGCGUACCCCCACCCCCACCUCAGCCCCCUUGGUGGCAGAGCAGCCGCCUGAAGGGACUGGGGCCACAGCCACUGCGUGCGCUCACUCGCUCACUGCUCGAUGCUUCGCUCCCUCCCGCUCCGGCCUGUCCCGCUAAGGCCGCUAAGGCCCCUUUUGUCUCCAGAACCGGUCUGAGCCGGUCACAUGGGCCCCCGCCCCUCCCCCCAUCCCGUGGAAGGACCCGCCCCCUCCCCCCAAACCCGCACCUCCCCAGACCCCCCUAGUCCCCGCCUCCACUCCCGCCCCUCGCCGAGCCGGGACUCCCGCGUCUGUGCCUCUCACCUCUGAUCUCUGGGUCUCUGGUCCUGGAGUUCGGUUUUACCAGUGCGCUUCUGGCUCAGGUCCCCUCGUAGCAGGCCCAGCUCUCUAUCCCCUCCCCUUCCCCUGGUCUAGGCCUGUCUAUACUUUUCCCUCUCGCAGCCUGUCAGCUCUCAGGUCACCACUUCGCUUGCCCACCGCGGGCCCCGGGAGUAUGUCCUGGUGUCACAGGCUCGGGGCGGCCACCGCACCCGCGAACCUUCCCUUCGAGGCCCGGCUCACCUCCGGCUUGGUUUUUUUUUUUUUUUUUUUUUUUUAAUCAGUUCACUCAGAGUGCAAGAAGGGUCUCUGAUGUGGCAGGGAGCUGGGUACCUGGGACCUCAGAUGGCUCCGGGAGCGGGAAAAUCAGCUCCGCCCCAGGCGCUGUGAGCCUAAGGCCCUAGGCAGAGGUCAGGAUCGGGGCAGACCCAUCUCCCGAAGUGAUCUGAGAUGUUGGUGGCCAUUUCCCCGACCCCAAGGAUUACCCAGCACACACCAUUGCUCAUGUGAGUCCCCCACAACAAGAAAAAAAGAAAACAAGAAAGGAAAAAAAAUUCACUUUACUGAGUCACACCCAGCUGUAAACAAGUCACCGUGGGAGCCCCACCCCCCACCCCAGGCCAUACAGUCCGAAAUGAAAUGGCUGGAUACAUGAGGAGGAAGACCAGGGUAGGUGCCAAGCAGGGCAGCGGGCAAGUGAAUACAGCAGGCUCUUGAGUUUCUGGGAUGCCCAGGGUGGGUGGAUCAGAGAGGAGGGUUAGGUACCCAGAACCCUCCAGAGAGCCCAAAGGAUCAGGUGGCUUUUGAAAGUCCUGCUGAGUGCAGGCCUCCCUGACAUCGAUGCUGAGCUCUGUCCAGCCCUUCCAUCUGCUGUGGUGAGCUGGAGGCUGCCCUGAAGGGAGGGAACCAGCCAGCCCAGCCUGUUUCCUGUUCCCCAUGAAACCAGGGACAGGUGAGAGUCCAGCUCCUUAGAGUCCAGCCCUAGAUCUGAACAGCUUCUCAGGGGGUGGCACGGGGCUCCUUCCCUGUGGCAGGGUCCCCCCAUAGCCAUCUGACAGGAAUGUGGCAGUGAGAUGGGCAAGGAGAGUCCUCUGGUAGUGUCCCUUGUUGAUCCAUGGUCCCCUUAACUACACAGCUGUCUCCUGGUCCUCACGCUGGAUCAUCUGGUAAUGCUGUCUGUUCUCCAGGUAGGCAGCGAGCUCUGUGUCUUGAGCCUUCUCAGCGCGCUGCCGGGGAGUGUCGCCCUGGAAAAGGGUGGAAGGGCCCCCAAGGCCUUAGGAAAGGGCAGGGGUUCUUCUACGGAGCCAGAGGGGGAGGGUAUCCUCAGAGGUCACAAGCUUUCCCCCUGCUGGCUCAGGUUUCUCAGGGCCUGGACUGUGUUGGCUCAGAAGAGCUUGAAAUUCCCUAGCCCUGCCCCCAAGUCUGGGAAAGGGUGAGUUUGUGCUCUGCCAGGCAACUCACCUGCAGAUCUGUCUUCAUGAGGGAGGCCCCGGCUUCCACAAUGUAGUGGCAGAUGGUGCGCUGACCCAGGGCGGCUGCCUGGUGUAGACAGGUCUCCCCACUGGGGAACAGGGGCUGGUUGUAGACACUUGCAGUUCUCUAGGCCUGCCCAGCAGUCUCCCAACAGCCAUUAGAAAGGGCAGGAGUUUGGCAAGAGGGGGAAGGGUGCUCAGUGCUAGCCACAAAGGGUUCUUGGGCUCUGGGUGACCAAAUGGUUAGACCUGAAGGAAGGUGGUUUUCUGGUGAACCAGGGGCCUGUGUCUCAGAUACUCACUUCUCCUCCACAGCAUCAAGGAUCUCUGGAGGUGCUGCAGAUAAAAGGAAAGGGGAUGCUAAGAGCCUGGCUCCCCCUUUCUCCCUCCCAGCCCCAGCAACGCAGCUUACCAUGAUCCAGCAGAUAGCGGACCACUUCCUUACUGCCAGUGCUGACCGCGUGGUGCAAGAGCGUGCGGCUCUUCUGGUCACGGUGCAUGAGGUCACCUCCUGCUCGGUGUAGCUCCUGGAGCUAAGGGCAGUGGGCAGGGUAGAGCAGGGCUGGAUCACCCACCCUUCACAGGCAUGGACCCAGGCACAGGCUCACUUAAGUUACUCCUUAGGCACUUCUGAGGCUUUGGUUUUUUGGUCUUUUUCUGUAGUCUUGACUGUCCUCAACUAGGUAGACAAGGUUAGCCUCAAACUCACAGGGACCCUACUGCUUCUGCCUCCUAAGUGCUGGAUUAAACGUGUGCGCCCCCA